rnacentral:lncRNA from 10 species
AAAUCAGAGCUUGCAGGAAAAUUCCAGAAGCCAAAGCACAUCUAGCCACCGAAGCAGGGCCGCGGAGGGGGAGUUCGUGGAGAGGUUUAUGGGAGCUGUGGCCUCUACGUAGCUCCCGCCCCAUGUGGGGCGACAGCCAAGCCCCUGGUGGUGGGCCCGAGGCAGCUGUUGGGUAGCAGAGCCAACAGCAGGAAAUGUUAGCUGGGAGGGAGCAGAGGAGAGAGCCGGAUAAACCGGGAGCUGCAGGGCCUCUCAGGGCCCCUCUGUUUCUGUCCUUCACUGUAUCUGACGGGAAACCUGCCAGGGGCAGUGACUGCUGCUCGCCUUCCGCCCUACAAUUCUUGCACAAGGUUCUCUUUUGGCCAACUCUAACCCGGAAACACAGCAGGGAGGGGCUUCUAGGAAAUGGAGUUCCCAGCCUUAAUCGAGUUGCCAUAGCACAACUCAGCACCGCAUCUCCCAGCGUGAUCAAUGAAAUGACAUCACAGGCUCGGUAAAAGCCAUUUAAAAAUAACUCCUUCAUUCUACUGUUCCUCAGCUCAGAAGUCAGUUAACAAAGAGUGAAGAGGACACUAUCAUCAUCAUCAUCAACAUCAUCAUCAUCAUCAUUAUUAUUUGCCUGAAGGCCCAGAGUACACCGUAAUGGAGUACUGCUGAUGGGAAAGGAAUUAGCAUUGACCUCUCAGGAGGUUAAUUUGGGAGUUUAGCUCAUGAUCUAGUAAUUCUGCUUCUGGAAGUUUAUGAGAAGGAAGUGCUCUAAUAUGUGCGCCUGUGUGAUCGCUGGGCUUUAGCAUUUUAGGGGUGAGCCAACUGUAUCUCAGAGGUGGCCAUGUCUUGCAUUGAGGAGAGAGAGCACCUGCGAGAACUUCCAUGCUAUAUUCUAUUUGGGAAGAACUUGAACCUUGCAUAACGUAAACGAAGAGAAUUAACAAGAAUUUGUGGCACCCCUUCUGUGUCAGUUCUUCUUCCAGAUAAUAGGAAUAUAGCAAUAAACAAAACAGACCAGGUUCCUGCCCUCAUGGGGGAAAGAGGCAAUCUAAAAAUGAAAAAUGGGCCAGGCGCGGUGGCCCACGCCUGUAAUCCCAGCACUUUCGGAGGCCAAGGUGGACGGAUUACCCAAGGUCAGGAGUUCAAGACCAGCCUGGCCAACAUGGCGAAACCCCAUCUCUACUAAAAAUACAAAAAUUAGCUGGGCGUGGUGGCACGUGCCUGUAAGGCCAGCUACUCGGGAGGCUGAGGCAGGAGAAUUGCUUGAACCCAGGAGGUGGAGGUUGUAGUGAGCUGAGAUUGUGCCAUUGCACUCCAGCCUGGACGACAGAGCGAGACUUCAUCUCAAAAUAAAUAAAUAAAUAAAUAUAAAGAUGAAAAAUGUCACCAAAUGUCAGAUUAAGUACCAAGAGGGAAAAUAAAGCAGCGUCAAGGAUUAGAGAGUAAUAUGGGUGCUAUUUUUAGAUAAGGUGGUCAAGGGGGGGCCUCUUUGAGGAGGUGCCGUUGGGUCAGAGACAUGAAUGAACAAAGGCAGGAAACUAUGCUGAUAUUUGAAGGCAGAACAUUUCAGGAGCGGAGAAAGUAAUACACAGGCCGAAGAUGAGAAGGAAGUUUACGAACUUCGUUUCUGAGACAAGGUCUCACCCUAUCGUCCAGCCUGGAAUACAGUGGCAUGAUCAUAGCUCACUGUAACAUUGAACUCCUGGGCUCAAGCGACCCUCUCGUCUCAGCCUCCUGAGAAUGAACUUCUUUAUUCAGGGGACAGCAGGGAGACCAAUGUGGCUGGAGCAUGGUGAGCAAGCAGGGAGGGUGAUAGCAGCUGAGGUUGGAGAGAAAGCCAGGGGACAGAUCACACUGGCUUUUGAUUUGGGUCAAGUCAGGUGGGAAACCAUUGGAAAGUUUUGAAGUGGAACAUGACCUUUGCUGGCUUAAAUAUUGAAAGGCUAUCCAUGAGGAGUAAAUUACAGCUGGGCAAGAGUGGACACAGAGAGACCAAUUAAGACCUAUUGCAAGUGGUCCAUCCAGGAGGCUGUCAGGAGGCUGGACCAGGGCAGGGCAGCAGUGGAGAAGGUGAGAAGUGGUCAGAGGCAAUAACACUAUAAGAGCAAAGCUGAAGGGAUUUGCUACGAGGUCAAAUGUGAAUUGUAAUAGAAAGAUGAGAGUCAAGGAUGACUUCAAGGUUUUUGGCCUGAGCAAGUGGAAGAAUGGAGCCGUUAUUUACUAAGAAGGGGGAUGCUAGGCAGGAGCAGGUUUGGGAAUAAUGCAGAAUUUAAUUAUGGACAGAUUAAGAAUGAGAUACAGCCUGGGCAACAUGGCGAAACCCCAUCUCUACUAAAAAUACAAAAAGAUUAGCUGGGCAUGGUGGUGCGCACCUAUAAUCCCAGCUACUUGGGAAGCUGAGGCAGGAGCAUCGCUUGAGCCCGGGAGGUGGAGGUUGCAGUGAGCCGAGAGUGUGCCACUACACUCCAGCCUGGGCGACCGAGUGAGACCCUGUCU